rnacentral:tRNA from 1 species
UUUCUCGUAAUUCAAUCAGGCAGAAUGCUCCGCUCAUAACGGAAGGGUUAUAGGUUCAAAUCCUAUCGAGCCGA